GACGUAGGUGGCGAGCGUUACUCGGAAUCACUAGGCGUAAAGCGCGUGUAGGCGGGUAGUUAAGUCCAACGUGAAAUCUCCCGGCUCAACCGGGAAUGGUCGUUGGAUACUGGCUGUCUUGAGUGAUGCAGGGGAAACUGGAAUUCCCGGUGUAGCAGUGAAAUGCGUAGAGAUCGGGAGGAACACCAGUGGCGAAGGCGGGUUUCUGGGCAUCCACUGACGCUAAAGCGCGAAAGCUAGGGGAG
rnacentral:rRNA from 1 species